UACAGAGGUCUCAAGCGUUUGUUCGGAUUCAUUGGGCGUAAAGGGUGUGUAGGUGGCGCGCUAAGUCGGAUGGUGAAAUUUCGGAGCUUAACUCCGAAACUGCAUUCGAUACUGGCGUGCUUGAGGACUGGAGAGGAGACUGGAAUUCAUGGUGUAGCAGUGAAAUGCGUAGAGAUCAUGAGGAAGACCAGUGGCGAAGGCGGGUCUCUGGACAGUUCCUGACACUGAGACACGAAGGCCAGGGGAGCAAACGGG
rnacentral:rRNA from 1 species